rnacentral:lncRNA from 1 species
CAGCACCACCUCCUCACUGGGAAACCUUUGAUCAAUGGGGAAACCAAGUCCUGAGGGAAGCUGACAAAGCAGUGGAAACCUCUACUUCAAUCCCCACAAGAAUCAACGAGGAUCCUGACCAAUACCUUCCGUUAGACCCUGACUCAAAGGAUGAAGAUUGGCCUGAAUUGCUAACUGACUCUUGGUGUUAUAACCCAGCAUAUAUACCAAGACAAGCAGGACCGUGGCCCUCCCCAGACCAGUUAGCCAGGACCUCCUCGCAAUCCUGCCUCAAGAGAGGUCCCUCUGGUUGUGGUAUGUGGGAUGCCGCCUCAACAUGGCCUGAUGAGCAGUGCCACGUCUGCGUGCCCAGGAUCCGAACCU